rnacentral:lncRNA from 1 species
UAGGGUUGGAGGAAGAGGGUUGGUGUAUGGAGGUUGGGUUCCACAAGAGCAGCUAUUGCACCACCCUAACAUCGGGUGUUUCGUUAACCACUGUGGGUAUGGAACGAUGUGGGAAUUUUUGCUUAGUGACUGCCAAGUGGUGUUGAUACCUGAAAUUGGGGAUCAAAUUUUGAACACCAGGUUGAUGGCGAAUGAGCUCAAGAUUGGGGUAGAAGUGGAGAGAGGUAAAAACAGGGAGGUUCCAAAGGAGUCAUUGAGUGAAGCCAUCAAGUUUGUGAUGGACAAGGACAAUGAAACAGCUAAUCUGAUGAAGAGAAACCAUGCUAAGCUGAAGCAAAUGCUAUCUAACAGGGAUCUUCAAGAAGGAUAUAUCAACAAUUUCAUUCAAGCUCUGCAAGAUUUGUCAAAUAUGAAGUCCAAGUCGCAAAACAAAAUGAUUAAACCCGAUGAUGUUUGGUAAAUAGUUUUGAGGUGUUCUUGCAUGUAAUGUUCUGCCAUGAAAACUGACAUCACCGUUAUUCUAAACAUGUUAAGAUUGCUGCUUCUUUCUAAGAGCAAAUUUAAUUUCCAAACUAACACACAGAUCAAGAAAUAUAGCACUCUGGACCUGCAAAUACUCAAGCACAUAUUCAAUAUAUACGGCAAAUUCGACAUGAAAAAGAAAAAUAAUGGAGAAGGCAAUAUAGUUGAAAGUUGAAUAUAAUAGCAUGAGACUUCAUAAUGGGAGUCUGUACAAUUGUUGAUAAUUACAGAGCCAACAAAUAAAUGAUUGUCUGUUAGAUCUUGUCAAAUAGAGUUGCAAAAUCCAAGCAAUUGGUUAGAAAAUGAAUGUGAAUCAUAGGUAUGAUUAUUGUUUGUGAUGGUGUGUUGUGGCAUAUUAGUUAGAAUUAGAUAAAUGACAUGAUUUAGUAUGUUUUUGGUAUGAUAUAAUAAAAUGGAAUUAUUUGUUAAUGGUAUAUUUGUGGCUUAAUUAUGAAUGAAUAUACAUGACUUACAUUUGAAGGUAUUUUUAAGCGUACACGGGUUACUACAUGGUUUUGUGCUUUACAUUGGAAUGUUACAAAGUCGUGUGUUUUAUUUGAUUUAAGUGUUAAUUGGUAUACAUGGCCACAGUCUUUUAUAUGAUCUGGAGACAUGGCUGUGUACCUCCACCUACAUGGUUUUAAUCAUCACACACGGUGAAACAACACAACUAUAUCUCAUAGCAACACAUAGCCUCAGCUUAUCAUACGGCUUCGUCACAUGGACAUCCAACAGAGUGAAUGAUUUCUUGGCGUAACUAGUGAAGAUUAACGACCAUUAGCAAUACUUUCCACUACUUUCCACUAGUAUAAUUUCAAUCAUGGUUUAUUUAUAACAAAGUCCUUGGAAAAAUCUCCUUAUAAGCCCGGCUUUUCUUUUACUUAUGUGUUAAUCCUCUUUCUUACAUUUAGCUAGCUACUUUAAUCUCCUUUACAAAUUAGUCCAUCAAUUUGACUAUUUACUCAAAUUCAAUAUUCUUUUUGGCGUCACAUUAAAUUAAUCAAGUCAAAUACCAUAACUACAAUCUGAGAAAAUUAAUUAUUGACUCGUUACACUUACCCUCAAAGUGGAGCAUGGUAGUUUGGAUCUUCGUAACAUCCAGGGACCAUUUUUCACCACUACCCUUGGAAAUCCUCAUUUUAACACUUGGAGCAUUCUAGCUUAAAAAAUCUCUCCCCUUACUCCUAAGAACACUAAUGAAUGGAGCCAUAGUCCUUUUUAGGCUUGAGGGCUUUUCUAAUUAUGGCUUCCCAUUUGGGUUUUAUUCACCAAUGGAGAUGUCAUCAAGAUUCUGUCACCCAUGUCAUUGUCAAUUUUUCAUGAUAAAAUCUCAAAGAGAUCUUUAAUUUUCACUUUCCUUUAUCCAUGGAACCUUUAAAAUUAAUCAUUUAUUUUCACUUUCCUUUAAUCAUGGAACCUUUUGAAUCAGUCAUCGAUGUGUCUAUCAAUUUGUUGGACCUCUUGCAAUCUUGCAAGUUCUAGAUUUUGACUCACCUUUUUUUGUAGUCGGGUGGUUGUAACAUCUACCAUGGUAAAAUCUUAGCUUUGAUAAUACAGACGAAAUUGCAAAUUGAAAGGAAAAAGGAUGGAGAGAGAAAAAAAUGAUUAGAGAAGAAAAUGAAAAAAAGAGGUAAUACAAUUAUGGCCAAACAUAAUCCUUCUCUAACGCAACGUUUCAUCUAUUUUAUUUGUUAUUUUGAUAUAAUGAUAUCAUUUACAUCAUUUUAUGGAAAAAAAAUUAACCAACUAAAAAAAUUCUCCAACAACUACCAAAAACUUCUCGCCAUUUGGUUCUCAUCCAAAUCGAGAUUUUCAAAAAGAAAUUGGAGAUUCAACCUCACCUUAAUUAUGAGUAGAAUCAAUGGUUGAAUUCUUUUGGGAUAAAUAUAAUAAAAUACUUUCAAUAUGGAUAAACAUGAUGAAUAAAAAAGGCGUUUGUUGUGCAAUUGUUAAUGGAAGGCUUUAUAAUUAGAUCGGUUUUUUCUCUCAGAUCACAUUGUGCAAGCAAAAAAAGAAAGAUGAGAAAAUCAGGCCACUCAAAGCUUCACAUCGCCAUGUUUCCAUGGGUUGCCUAUGGUCAUUUCAUCCCUUUCUUUCAUCUCUCUAAUAAGCUGGCUCAUAUAAGCUGGCUCAUAAAGGCCACCAAAUUUCCUUCUUUGUGCCCAAAGGAGUUCAACCAAAGCUUGAAAACAUGAACCAAUACCUCAACUUGAUUCAGUUCUUUCCUCUACUUAUACCCCAUGUCGAUGGCCUCCUUCCAGGUGCUGAAACUACAUCUGUUGUUCCUCUGAACCAACAAAAAUACCUUGCUUUUGCCGUAGAUCAAACCAGGGACCAAGUUGAAGGAAUCUUAAAGGUUAUAAAACCAGAUAUGGUUUUUUAUGAUUUCUGGUUUUGGAUCCCAGACUUGGCUCGCCAACUUGGGAUCCUCCCCAUAUUCUAUGUAGUGGUUUCCUCAAUGUCGAUGGGGUUAAACACCAAGGCACUAACCAAAGAAAUGAAUGUAGAAGAGGUGAUGGAAUUGCCUACUGGUUGCCCUCCUUCUACGGUGAAACUCAAACCUGAAGAGGCUGCUGCAAUGUUGUUUGAGGCUGAGGAUUUCGGAAGUGGACUGUCGUUUCGGGAACGGAUAAGGACUGCUGUGAAAGGAAGUGAUGCCAUUGCCUUCAGGACUUGCAGUGAAAUCGAUGGACCAUUUGUGACUUUGUCGCUGAAGGAUUUGGGAAGCCUGUUUUGUUAUCAGGGCCUUGUUUGCCUGAAACGAAUACCUAACAGCUUGAUGAGAAAUGGGUUAGUUGGUUGAGCCAGUUCGAGCCAGGAUCUGCUGUGUUUUGCUCAUUUGGAAGCCAGAGUGUGUUGCAGAAGGCUGAGUUCCAGGAGUUGGUGCUUGGGUUUGAGCUAUGUGGGCUGCCAUUUUUUGUAGCUUUAAAGCCACCCUAAGGAUUCUCGACUGUUGAAGAAGCACUGCCAGAGGGGUUUCAAGAUAGGGUUGGAGGAAGAGGGUUGGUGUAUGGAGGUUGGGUUCCACAAGAGCAACUAUUGCACCACCCUAACAUCGGGUGUUUCGUUAACCACUGUGGGUAUGGAAUAAUGUGGGAGUUUUUGCUUAGUGACCGCCAAAUUGUGUUGAUACCUGAAAUUGGGGAUCAAAUUUUGAACACCAGAUUAAUGGUGAAUGAACUCAAGAUUGGAGUUGAAGUGGAGAGAGGUAAAAACAGGGAGGUUUCAAAGGAGUCAUUGAGUGAAGCCAUCAAGUUUGUGAUGGACAAGGACAAUGAAACAGCUAAUAUGAUGAAGAAAAACCAUGCAAAGCUGAAGCAAAUACUGUCUAAUAAGGAUUUUCAAGAAGGAUAUAUCAACAAUUUCAUCAAAGCUCUACAAGAUCUUGUCAAAUAGAGGGUCCAAGUUGCAAAACAAGAAGAAAAUAUCCAUUUCAUUAUUUGGAAUGAACUGAAGAGUAGUCCUCGCAGGUUAGCUCUCAAAAGGAUUUGGUCAAGGUUCUUUCACCAUGUUAAACGACAUCUAAUGAUGCUACUCAUUUUCUAGCCAAAAAUGGACUGAAUAGUAAUACUGCCACUAUGUGGGUGGAAGAUUACCCACCCUUUCUUCAUCUUUAUGUCAUCACUGAUGCUAUGAAAAUGUUCAAUUUCAAGAACAUUAGCAAAUAAGUCAUCCAAUAGGCUAAUGUAAUUUGGAA